rnacentral:rRNA from 1 species
CCUACGGGUGGCAGCAGUGAGGAAUAUUGGUCAAUGGGCGCGAGCCUGAACCAGCCAAGUAGCGUGAAGGAUGACUGCCCUACGGGUUGUAAACUUCUUUUGCCGGGGAGCAGUGGUCCGGACGCGUCCGGACAGGGAGAGUCACCGGAGAAAAAGCAUCGGCUAACUCCGUGCCAGCAGCCGCGGUAAUACGGGGGAUGCGAGCGGUAUCCGGAUUUAUUGGGUUUAAGGGGGGCGUAGGCGGUCAUUUAAGCCGGCGGUCAACUGUCGGGGCGCAACCCCGGCCUGCCGUCGGAACUGGGUGCCUUGAGUGGGCGAGAAGUAUGCGGAAUGCGGGGUGUAGCGGGGAAAGGCAUAGAGAUCACGCAGAACCCCGAUUGCGAAGGCAGCAUACCGGCGCCCGACUGACGCUGAGGCACGAAAGUGCGGGUAUCGAACAGGAUUAGAUACCCCAGUAGUC